rnacentral:rRNA from 1 species
GGACUACCCGGGUAUCUAAUCCCGUUCGCUCCCCUAGCUUUCGCACCUGAGCGUCAGUGACUCGCCAGGACGCUGCCUUCGCCUUUGGUGUUCUUCCAGAUCUCUACGCAUUUCACCGCUCCACCUGGAAUUCCGCGUCCCUCUCAAGCCCUCAAGUGCAGCAGUUUUCCAAGGCCUGUGGUAGUUAAGCCACCACCUGUCACUCAAAACUUACUGCACCGCCUGCGUGCGCUUUACGCCCAAUAAAUCCGGACAACGCUUGCCCCCUACGUAUUACCGCGGCGGCUGGCAC